rnacentral:rRNA from 1 species
AAGGCGCCGCUUACCAUGCAAGUCGAGCGAGAACCAGUCCUUCGGGGCUGGGGACAGCGGCGAACGGGUGAGUAACACGUGGAUAAUCAACCCUCGACACUGGGAUAGCCCGGGGAAACCCGGAUUAAUACCGGAUGUCCCAUCUGGCUUUCGAGCCGGCUGGAAAAGGUAGCUUCGGCCUCUGGUCGGGGACGAGUCCGCGGCGGAUUAGCUUGUUGGCGGGGUAAUGGCCCACCAAGGCGACGAUCCGUAGCUGGUCUGAGAGGACGAUCAGCCACACUGGGACUGAGACACGGCCCAGACUCCUACGGGAGGCAGCAGUGGGGAAUCUUGCGCAAUGGGCGAAAGCCUGACGCAGCGACGCCGCGUGAGGGAAGAAGGCCUUCGGGUUGUAAACCUCUUUCAGGAGGGACGAAGCCACUCGGGUUAAUAGCCCAGAGGGUGACGGUACCUCCAGAAGAAGCCCCGGCUAACUACGUGCCAGCAGCCGCGGUAAUACGUAGGGGGCAAGCGUUGUCCGGAUUUAUUGGGCGUAAAGAGCGUGUAGGCGGCUUCACAGGUCCGCUGUGAAAACUCGAGGCUCAACCUCGAGCUGUCGGUGGAAACCGUGUAGCUAGAGUCCGGAAGAGGAGAGUGGAAUUCCCGGUGUAGCGGUGAAAUGCGCAGAUAUCGGGAAGAACACCCGUGGCGAAAGCGGCUCUCUGGGACGGUACUGACGCUGAGACGCGAAAGCGUGGGGAGCGAACAGGAUUAGAUACCCUGGUAGUCCACGCCGUAAACGAUGGGUGCUAGUUGUGGGGGGGGUGUCGACUCCCUCCGUGCCGAAGCUAACGC